GACGAACGCUGGCGGCGUGCCUAACACAUGCAAGUCGAACGGAGAUACGAUUUCGGUUGUAUCUUAGUGGCGAACGGGUGCGUAACGCGUGAGCAACCUGACCUUUAGAGGGGGAUAACACUUGGAAACAGGUGCUAAUACCGCAUAAGACCACGACCCGACAUCGGGAUGAGGUCAAAGGAGAAAUCCGCUAACGGAGGGGCUCGCGUCCCAUUAGAUAGAUGGCGGGGUAACGGCCCACCAUGUCGACGAUGGGUAGCCGAGCUGAGAGGCUGAUCGGCCACACUGGAACUGAGACACGUUCCAGACUCCUACGGGAGGCAGCAGUGGGGAAUAUUGGGCAAUGGGCGCAAGCCUGACCCAGCAACGCCGCGUGAGGGAAGAAGGCCUUCGGGUUGUAAACCUCUGUCCUUGGUGACGAAACAAAUGACGGUAGCCAAGGAGGAAGCCCCGGCUAACUACGUGCCAGCAGCCGCCGUAA
rnacentral:rRNA from 1 species